AUUGACCGCUGGCGGCAGGCCUAACACAUGCAAGUCGAGCGAGCGGCGGACGGGUGAGUAAUGUCUGGGAAACUGCCUGAUGGAGGGGGAUAACUCCUGGAAACGGUAGCUAAUACCGCAUACCAUCAGAUGUGCCCAGAUGGGAUUAGAUAGUAGGUGGGGUAACGGCUCACCUAGGCGACGAGCCCUAGCUGGUCUGAGAGGAUGACCAGCCACACUGGAACUGACACACGGUCACGACUCCUACGGGAGGAAGCAGUGGGGAGUAGUUCCCAAUGGGCGCAAGCCUGAUGCAGCCAUGCCGAGUGUGUGAAGAAGGCCUUCGGGUUGUAAAGCCCAUUCAGCGGGGAGGCGUUGCCCGCAGAAGAAGCACCGGCUAACUCCGUGCCAGCAGCCGCGGUAAUUC
rnacentral:rRNA from 1 species